rnacentral:rRNA from 1 species
GACGAACGCUGGCGGCGUGCUUAACACAUGCAAGUCGAACGGAAAGGCCCUGCUUUUGUGGGGUGCUCGAGUGGCGAACGGGUGAGUAACACGUGAGUAACCUGCCCUUGACUUUGGGAUAACUUCAGGAAACUGGGGCUAAUACCGGAUAGGAGCUCCUGCUGCAUGGUGGGGGUUGGAAAGUUUCGGCGGUUGGGGAUGGACUCGCGGCUUAUCAGCUUGUUGGUGGGGUAGUGGCUUACCAAGGCUUUGACGGGUAGCCGGCCUGAGAGGGUGACCGGCCACAUUGGGACUGAGAUACGGCCCAGACUCCUACGGGGGGCAGCAGUGGGGAAUAUUGCACAAUGGGCGGAAGCCUAAUGCAGCAACGCCGCGUGCGGGAUGACGGCCUUCGGGUUGUAAACCGAUUUCGCCUGUGACGAAGCGUGAGUGACGGUAAUGGGUAAAGAAGCACCGGCUAACUACGUG